rnacentral:lncRNA from 15 species
CUUAUUUUUAUAACCUCUCUGUGAUUACACUAUUGAAAACAAUAGUGUUAUUAUAUUCAAUUUAGAUCCUCCUAAAUGUUACACACUGGAGCUUUAAGUUGUUGAAGUUUUACUCCAGUCACCUUUAAAUGAUGUAAAACAAAAAUACUCUGCUUUGAUAAUUAGUAUCAUAAAUAAACAAUAUUUUGUUUAACAUGAUUGUCCGACAUAAAAAGUCUGAACUACGGAAGCCACGCCCACCGAGGUCAUUGCCCCAGGUUGACGGGUGACAGAGCCCCAGGCAACAAGAUGGCUAACCUCAGAGGAAACAUUGGAUAUAUUCAGACAUAGCCUCCAUGUUUAAGCCUCAGCCUCAAACUCAGAAUGGUGCAGUAUCAGAAGGAAGGUGAUGCAGAGACAGACAAAGCCAAGCAGGAAGAGAAGGUGGAACAGGCAUCAGAGACUCAGCUGGAGAAAGAGACAGUUCACCCAGCAGAAAGAGAGAAGUGAUGAGGUAAGUUGUGUCAUUACACAGACCAUGACAUUAGUGUAUAAUGGUAGGUUUUACUGUGGAACAUUUUGCCCAUGGCUGAUUAAAUUAUGCCAUAACCAGUCCACAAACAGUCAAGAAGGCACUAUUUUAACAGAUCCUUUUCAAUCACUUAUAGUUGGUGCUAUAGAGACGGGACAUGUGACACAAAGACUACUGGCAGUAAGAGGUUGGACAUGA